rnacentral:rRNA from 1 species
CUGGCCAGCCAAGUCCGUUGGGAAAUCCACACGCUUAACGUGUGGGCGUCCAGCGGAAACUGUCUGCUUGGGACUGGAAGACCCGAGGGGUACGUCCGGGGUAGGAGUGAAAUCCCGUAAUCCUGGACGGACCACCGGUGGCGAAAGCGCCUCGGGAAGACGGAUCCGACAGUGAGGGACGAAAGCCAGGGUCUCGAACCGGAUUAGAUACCCGGGUAGUCCUGGCCGUAAACGAUGUCUGCUAGGUGUGGCGCAGGCUACGAGCCUGCGCUGUGCCGUAGGGAAGCCGUGAAGCAGACCGCCUGGGAAGUACGUCUGCAAGGAUGAAACUUAAAGGAAUUGGCGGGGGAGCACUACAACCGGAGGAGCCUGCGGUUUAAUUGGACUCAACGCCGGACAUCUCACCGGCACCGACAGUAGCUGUGAAGGUCAGUUUGAUGAGCUUACUGGAGUUACUGAGAGGAGGUGCAUGGCCGCCGUCAGCUCGUACCGUGAGGCGUCCUGUUAAGCCAGGCAACGAGCGAGACCCGCACUUCUAGUUGCCAGCAACACCAUUGGUGGUUGGGUACACUAGAAGGACUGCCGCUGCCAAAGCGGAGGAAGGAACGGGCAACGGUAGGUCAGUAUGCCCCGAAUGUGCCGGGCAACACGCGGGCUACAAUGGCCGGGACAAUGGGAUGCUAUCCCGAGAGGGAGCGCUAAUCCCCUAAACCCGGUCGUAGUUCGGAUUGAGGGCUGGACUCGCCCUCAUGAAGCUGGAUUCGGU